AGGGGGAGGCAGCGGAGAGCCUGCCGGCUGCGCCAGUUCCCCGGAGCCCACCGGCCGUCCCCUCCAGGGGCACCUAUCCGUCUAUAGGGAGAGAGGGCGGCAACCAGCAAGACCAUUUCAGCACCCUUCAAAGAGGCGUCCGGCGAAAUGCUAACCUAGGGGAGACUUGGACGGAAACCAGUGUUCCGCACCACUAGCAGCAGCCCCACGAGGAGCUGCCUUCUGUAUUUCUGCAGGUGCAUUUCCAGCCGGAUCGUACGUCGCUGUGUUCUCAUGCUUGUUUGUUGUUUCUCUUCUGAAGCUCCAAAGACUCCUCUACCCUGCCACCUCUCUCUGCUCACACACCAAACCCGCAGCUCCUCCCAUCCACACUGCAACAUCCUCUCCUGGGUGCAAGGCUCUCCUCCUGCUAUUAGGCAUAAAUGGGUAAGAGCUCUCUGGAAAUGUUCAGUUCCUUAAACUCCAGUGGAGACGUGGCGGGGAGGAGUAGCAACAACACUCCAGAGGCAUUUAUGGAAUUACACUGCACCAUUUUUGGCUGUGGUAACGAAUGUAAACACAUUUAUUUCAUUCUUAUAAAACAGUUGUGAUAAAUACUGCAUAAGGCAGAGAAAAAGGCAGGCCGCUGGGACUGUUUACUAAUAGAAGAGCUGGCGUCUUUUCAGGGCUUUUUUACAACAGCUGUCCAAGAAAAAAAAAAAUGUGUGUUUUACUAUAAAUAGAUCUAGUUUACUCGUAAAUCUCGCCAAAUUACAACACCUCUCUUACAACCUCCUGCAUCCCGGAAUCUUUUUUUUUCUCUCUCUCCCCCGCUUUUCGUGCCAUUGUUCAGCACAGAUCCGUCUCUUUUGUUACAUUGUCUCUCUCGCAGUGCUUCGGAUUUUUGCUGCCAACACUGCGCGUGGGAGCAACAUAGUAAGGAUGGCCAGAGCAGAGAGAAAAAUUCCCCUCCACAGCCAGGCGAGCGGAGCUGCCCACUCUCCGCGCCCAGAGGCGCCGGCGGCCCCCUCUCCCUACCGAGCCCCUUUCGUCGCUCGUUGCGGGCCGGGGUGCAGAAAGCGCCGUUUCCUGUCCAGAGCCGGGAGCGAAGGGGGCAAUUCCGGUGCUUAAGACUUUUCCGUGGGAGAUCUCGCAUGCCCCCACCCCCCAGUGCCCCCACUAUGGCCCCAGGGCUCACCAGGAGAGGCUUAGGCGACUUCUGAUUGCUGAAUCGCCCGAUUUGUUUAAAUCGAGUAUGGGAAAAGUUUAAAUCUCGUAGCGUAUUUUUCUUUUUCUUUCUUUUCUUUUUUUUCUUUUUCUUUAAAAAAAGAAAGAAAGAAAGAA